rnacentral:rRNA from 1 species
GACGAACGCUGGCGGCGUGCUUAACACAUGCAAGUCGAACGGAAAGGCCCUGCUUUUGUGUGGUGCUCGAGUGGCGAACGGGUGAGUAACACGUGAGUAACCUGCCCUUUACUUUGGGAUAACUUCAGGAAACUGGGUCUAAUACCGGAUAGGAGCUCCUGCUGCAUGUUGUGGGUUGGAAAGUUUCGGCGGUUGGGGAUGGACUCGCGGUUUAUGCUCUUGUUUGUGGGGUUGUGGCUUACCAAGGCUUUGACGGGUAGCCGGCCUGAGAGGGUUACGGGCCACAGUGGGAAUGAGAUACGGCCCAGACUCAUACGGGAGGCAGCAGUGGAGAAUAUUGCACAAUGGGCGGAAGCCAGAUGGAGCAACGCCGCGUGCGGGAUGACGGCCUUCGGGUUAUAAACCGCUUGCGCCGGUGACGAAGCGUGAGUGACGGUAAUGGGUAAAGAAGCACCGGCUAACUACGUG